rnacentral:rRNA from 1 species
GAACGACUCUCGGCAACGGAUAUCUCGGCUCACGCAUCGAUGAAGAACGUAGCAAAAUGCGAUACUUGGUGUGAAUUGCAGAAUCCCGUGAACCAUCGAGUUUUUGAACGCAAGUUGCGCCCGAAGCCACCCGGUUGAGGGCACGUCUGCCUGGGCGUCACGC